AUGCAAGCGCUCCAGAGAGCGGUCCGGCGGUUCCACGCCACCGCCGGUGCUCCGCCGCUCACCAGAUUUUCUCUCCACGCGCCUAAAUGUGUAGAGGUGGAGUUUGGCAAUGGGAGUGUGUUCAAUUUGUCAGCUGAAUUCUUAAGAGUUCACAGUCCAGCUGUUGAUGCCAAGAUUAGGUCCAUUGCUGGUGAAAAGGUGAUAUCAGGGCGGCGUCUUGUGGGGAUCAUGUCUGCAGAACCUGUAGGAAACUAUGGGGAUUGUUUUCGAUGACUUGCAUAAGACUGGCAUCUAUUCGUGGGAUUACUUCUACCAUCUGGGGAGCAACAAGUUCAGCCUCAUGAGAAGCUAUAUCAAGACUCUCAACAAGUAUGGACUGCGGCGAGAUCCGCCUAGAAGGAAAUGAACUAGGCUUUAAUGCUUUAUGAUCAGUGGCUUCCAAUCCACUUU